UGAGGAAUAUUGGUCAAUGGACGGAAGUCUGAACCAGCCAAGUAGCGUGCAGGAUGACGGCCCUAUGGGUUGUAAACUGCUUUUGUAUGGGGAUAAAGUUAGGGACGUGUCCCUAUUUGCAGGUACCAUACGAAUAAGGACCGGCUAAUUCCGUGCCAGCAGCCGCGGUAAUACGGAAGGUUCGGGCGUUAUCCGGAUUUAUUGGGUUUAAAGGGAGCGUAGGCCGGAGAUUAAGUGUGUUGUGAAAUGUAGACGCUCAACGUCUGACUUGCAGCGCAUACUGGUUUCCUUGAGUACGCACAACGUUGGCGGAAUUCGUCGUGUAGCGGUGAAAUGCUUAGAUAUGACGAAGAACUCCGAUUGCGAAGGCAGCUGACGGGAGCGCAACUGACGCUGAAGCUCGAAGGUGCGGGUAUCGAACAGGAUUAGAUACCCUGGUAGUCCGCACAGUAAACGAUGGAUGCCCGCUGUUGGUACCUAGUAUCAGCGGCUAAGCGAAAGCAUUAAGCAUCCCACCUGGGGAGUACGCCGGCAACGG
rnacentral:rRNA from 1 species